UACGUAGGGUGCGAGCGUUAAUCGGAAUUACUGGGCGUAAAGUGUGCGCAGGCGGCCCGAGCAAGUCGAGUGUGAAAGCCCCCGAGCUUAACUUGGGAACUGCGCUCGAAACUACUUGGCUGGAGUGUGGCAGAGGAAGGUGGAAUUCCACGUGUAGCGGUGAAAUGCGUAGAGAUGUGGAGGAACACCGAUGGCGAAGGCAGCCCUUCUGGGCCAACACUGACCGCUCAUGCACGAAAGCGUGGGGAGC
rnacentral:rRNA from 1 species